ACUCCUACGGGAGGCAGCAGUGAGGAAUAUUGGACAAUGGGCGAGGGCCUGAUCCAGCCAUGCCGCGUGCAGGAAGAAUGCCCUAUGGGUAGUAAACUGCUUUUAUACGGGAAGAAAAAGGGGCACGUGUGCCCUGUUGACGGUACCGUAAGAAUAAGGACCGGCUAACUCCGUGCCAGCAGCCGCGGUAAUACGGAGGGUCCGAGCGUUAUCCGGAAUUAUUGGGUUUAAAGGGUCCGUAGGCGGGCCGGUAAGUCAGGGGUGAAAGUCUGUAGCUCAACUAUAGAACUGCCUUUGAUACUGCCGGUCUUGAGUUACGGUGAAGUUGCCGGAAUAUGUGGUGUAGCGGUGAAAUGCAUAGAUAUCACAUAGAACACCGAUUGCGAAGGCAGGUGACUAACCGUGUACUGACGCUGAUGGACGAAAGCGUGGGGAGCGAACAGGAUUAGAUACCCUGGUAGGAUAGCG
rnacentral:rRNA from 1 species